UACCAUAGAAUAAACCUUACCUCUGGGGUAGA
rnacentral:piRNA from 1 species